rnacentral:lncRNA from 1 species
CUGUCCUCUCCCGAAAGACAGAUGACGGCGGAAGUUGUUCAAACACACAUCUGCUGUUUGCUGUUGCUAAUGAACUCAACACGACACCAGUUCAAACCCUACACGCACACACACACACUAACACACACACACACACCAGUUCAAACCCACACUAACACUGUCUGUCAUUUCUCUCCUUCUCUCUUUCUUUCUUUCUUUCUCUCUAUCCUGUCACCACAGGGAAAUUCGGAGGAGUUUUAUUCUUUCACUCGUCUGGUUGGAGACAGCCAAAAGCGAGACGGCCCUUCUCAAACUGGUCUGUCCUGUAGGUGGCGCUCUAAGCUCUCCCCUGAUUGGUCCCGCUGGCAUGAGUCUGUCUGA